AAUAAGUGCAGUUUUAGCACUGUUCAUAUGUCCAACAUUAGAUCGUUCGUCUUAUUUGAAAAAAAGAUUAUGAUUAGUAUUUUUAUUGUUAUUAGAUGAUAAAACAUGAAUAGUACUUUAUGUGUGACUAAUUUUUUUAAUAUUUUUCAUAAAUUUUUCAAAUAAGACGGAUGGUCAAAACACUGAGUACGCAUAUCUAUGGCUACACUUAUU
rfam:Oryza meridionalis cultivar OR44 (W2112) chromosome 4, whole genome shotgun sequence.